UGCAUCAGUAUAGCUCCGUCGGUAGAGCAUGAGACUCUUAAUCUCAGGGUCCUGGGUUUGAACCCCAUGUUGGGCAA